AUUGAACGCUGGCGGCAGGCCUAACACAUGCAAGUCGAACGAGUGGCGGACGGGUGAGUAAUGUCUGGGAAACUGCCUGAUGGAGGGGGAUAACUACUGGAAACGGUAGCUAAUACCGCAUACCAUCGGAUGUGCCCAGAGGGGAUUAGCUAGUAGGUGGGGUAACGGUUCACCUAGGCGACGAUCCCUUGAUGGUCUGAGAGGAUGACCAGCCACACUGGAACUGUGUCAAGGUCCAGACUCCUCCGGUGGGCAGCAGUGGGGAAGAUUGCACAAUGGGUGCAAGCCUGAUGCAGCACUGCCGCGUGUAUGAAGAAGGCCUUCGGGUUGUAAAGUAGUGUCAGAGGGGAGGCGUUACCCGCAGAAGAAGCACCGGCUAACUCCGUGCCAGCAGCCGCGGUAAUAC
rnacentral:rRNA from 1 species